CGAACGCUGGCGGCGUGCUUACCACAUGCAAGUCGACCGGAAAGGCCCUGCUUUUGUGGGGUGCUCGAGUGGCGAACGGGUGAGUAACACGUGAGUAACCUGCCCUUGACUUUGGGAUAACUUCAGGAAACUGGGGCUAAUACCGGAUAGGAGCUCCUGCUGCAUGGUGGGGGUUGGAAAGUUUCGGCGGUUGGGGAUGGACUCGCGGCGUAUCAGCUUGUUGGUGGGGUAGUGGCUUACCAAGGCUUUGACGGGUAGCCGGCCUGAGAGGGUGACCGGCCACAUUGGGACUGAGAUACGGCCCAGACUCCUACGGGAGGCAGCAGUGGGGAAUAUUGCACAAUGGGCGGAAGCCUGAUGCAGCAACGCCGCGUGCGGGAUGACGGCCUUCGGGUUGUAAACCGCUUUCGCCUGUGACGAAGCGUGAGUGACGGUAAUGGGUAAAGAAGCACCGGCUAACUACGUG
rnacentral:rRNA from 1 species